UACAACAGCUCUAGAAACAUCUUUCAACACAGUUUAUUGAAUAGCCAAAGACUAAAAUUCAAGCAGCAUGAAAGAAAGACAAUUUUGAUCCGAUACUAGUAUCUGCAUUUGCAGUAUAUAGAAAAUACUACAGUUCAAAAUGUUCCUGAAUUGGAUCCUCAUAAACAUCAACAGUCUAUUGGUAGGAGUGAAACACUAUUGAUGAACAUUGUGCGGGUAGCUGGUCGGUGGACUCCGGUCGGUGAGUGGGGUACGUCACACCCCAAUCUCAAUGUUUAAGACUUUAAUUCCAACAACUGUAGAAUCAUCUUCAGUGUUGAAUUUAAAUAUCUGAGGAUUGCAGUGCAAGCAGCAUAAAGUAGGACAUGUUUAAUCUUGCUAAACCCUAACCACACUUCCACAAGAUUAAAAGGCCAAAAUGAGAAAUAUUCCAGUACAAAAUCUUCCUCGCCUUACAGUUUAUUUUGAUGAUUGUCAGCAUAUUUAUUUUGAUGAUUGUCAGCAUAGUUUUACCUAUUUAACAGUAGGAUAGACUUCAAUGGUAUUACUAUCUAUAAAGAGACAGUUUUAAAAUUCAAGUCCCUGAUUCAUUUCAUGUCUUCAAGGUUGAGAAAUGGGAGUGUUGGUGGAGUGGUAGUACCUUUGUGUUAUCACCAAUACUCUGGUCCACACACCACACUUAGCUCACUUUCAGCCUCCAUGAUGCCA